rnacentral:lncRNA from 1 species
GUGGAUCCGUCCGGGUUGCAAUCUUGCGGGUAGCUUGUGUAAUCUUGUUUGCAGCCAUUGUAUGGAUUACUUUCAUCCAAGAAAGAAAACCCUGGUGGACAUGUGCAAUUAGGCCUCCCAUUGAUAGGUUCGCAUAUGCUGUUAUAACCGCAAGGGCCAUUUCCAAGUCUAGCUGUACUGUCUACAAAGCUAGAGCAGAUGUCCUUUGGCCUAAACCACCAGGCAGACCAGCUUUCACCGCCACUGGGGUUCCUUGGAUAAGAAUAGAAGGUAAACACUCCAUUAAAACUAAGUAUUGCCCUGUAGUAGUUUGACUCUGGGUCUGGAGGAGCAUUUUCUGGUGCAAGGUUGAGUAGACUUCCAUUCGAACUCUGGAUUUGGAUAUACCCUGACUGGUUGAAGAUCAACCGAGAACCAUUUCCAAGGUUGAAAUAAUUGUUGUAAGGUUUUCCAGUGAACAUAUCUAUUUGAUUAAGUAUGAAAAAUCCAUUAUUAAAACGAAGCUGAUAUUUCCCCUCCUGGUAACUUCGUUCUGCCAAAGCUGAUGAAAGACUGCCAUCAGCAUCCAAUUCUUGAGUCGGUAAGAUGGUAUCAGUCGGAUAUUUGAAGCUUUCCCAUAUGUUGCCUGAGUUUCUGCUUGCGAUCACAAAAUUCCCUGUAUCAAGCAUGGCUGCAUGUGACGCCUGAGAGUCAUUGUUAAGGGUUUUGGACCUCCACAGCACCCUGUCUUUAGGGUCUUUGAGCACAAGACCGGUGCUGGUGAGCUCAACCUUUGAUUCUCUCUCAGCUGGAUUCUCUCUAUUGGCAUACCAAACUAUAGUUCUGUCGGGUAUCUUGGCAUACCAGAUAGCAAGAAGGAACUGGUCUUCUUCACCCUGAAUGGGAUGAAAACCAAAGGCAAAAUCACCGGAUGGUGAUUGCCAUGCAAUGUUUUUAUCAUUCGCAGAUAAAAAAUCACCUAAGCUUACAUUGCCUUGAGCCUGAACCGUUGCAAAAAUCCAAUGGAUGCCUAAAAGGAUAACCAGGAAAGGAUGACAAUGAGAAAGUGGUGAGAUCAUUGAAUCUCUCCCAGUAGCAGUUCAAGUGUGACAAAAAUGAAAAUUUUGGCUUAACCUUGAGGUAACAGACUGAUUUAUACAGAAGUUUCUCUGGCACUUGCACUUUAAAAAGGCCUCAGCCUGUUGCCUGUUGGUCUUGGAGAAAGUGAAAAGUAGAAUAACCCACCUGCAAAAAGGCAGAAGAACAAAAAUGCAGGGCACAUGCUUUGACAUGUAUGCAUUAUUGUCGAUUUUGUUCAAUUUGUUUAGUGCUUUAUGUCAGAGUCUGGACCCACUUUAUUAAUAGAGAAGUAUAAAUAUCUCAAGCUUUUCUAUCACAAGAACUGUGACUAUUUGUCUAUAUGUUUGCCGCUCACCCACUCUGCUCUGAUCUGUCUCUUACCCAUAUGUCUAUUGACAAAAUGUUUAAAUGCCAUCAACAUUUCUGAAGAUGGGAAAUCUUGCAAACUUAAAUUACUUGUACAUCUUGUUAUUUUUUAUGAGUGAUUUGGUUAUUUGUCAUUAUCUUGUUACUUAAACAAAUAAACUUCGAUAUUUAAAAGAAGCCUGUCUAAGAGUUUUGAGAGUGAUUUGGUUAUUUGUCAUUAUCUUCUUUUCUCUAGUUGGAAGACUUUCUUUGUACGAAGGGCUAUCUAAAUUUUGGUUUGCAGCCAUGAACAAAGCCAUCAAUCUCUCCAUUUUUGGCCCAUCAAACAGCUUAGAAGAGUCACUGCUCUUACAUUCUUUAAUCCAAUGACAAGUAGAUUAAUGUCAACAACUCUUCUACUUCUCUCAAGGGUUAGAUGUCCACAGUCUAUAGUUAUCUAAACAUUAAGAAACAUGUUUUCUAAAAUUCAACUAAAACUUCAUCGGUUUCUUCCUCCUUCCUGACAAUGUUUCUGAAACAUGUUUUUGUUUUUAUUCUAAUAAGAUCUAUCUUUGAUCUUGUUGCACGUAGUUAUAUAUUCAUAAUUUUACUUAAAUUUAUUAAAUACAGUGCUUGUUUUGCUUAGUUUUUUUUCAAUUUAUUUACCUCUUCAAAGCAAAAGCCAGGCUAAACAUAAAUUUUGAAAAAUUUUUGAAAAAAAAACUAUAACAAUAAAAUUUUUAAAAAAAGAACUUCAAGAAAAGCUCCUCAUAGGAGCUUUUUCUUUUCUUCUUUUAAAAGUAUAAGAGAAUUUUUAUUUUUAUUCCGAAAAUAUCUUUAUCUGUUAAAAAUAAUUGCAAUAUCCUUUCAAAAAAAAGAAAUACUUUCUAUGAUAUUUUUAACUAAAAUUAUAACUUAUAUAAAAUAACUUAUAAAAAAAAUUUACCAAACAACUUUAUCUUAAUUUUAAAAAUUAAUAUUUUUUAUAAAAAUUUCAUAAUAAUUUUUAAAUUAAAAAAAAGUUAGGCCAAACAGGCUCAUAGUAAUGUAAAAUUAUGAACGAAAUAUGAAGUUUGACGGUGGGUUUGCUAGGAAAGGGCGUGGUAGAGUAUAUGAUUGUCAAGUGUGACAAAAUGAAAAUUUUGGCCUUACCUUGAGGUAAGAGACUGGUUUAUACCAAAGUUUCUCUGGCAGUAGCAACUUUAAAAGCUCAAUUAGGUGCAGUUGCUAGUUUUUGUUUUCACGCUAACUUGCUGCGUUAGUUAGUAUUAGAGCGAGGAAAACUUAUUCCAUCUAAUGACAAGUUACCCAGUUACGGUAGAUUGCGGUUCUCAAGAUGAAGAUCAGGGAAUUGAGACCUCACGAUCUGCAAUGCAAGAUCAAGGGGUGGCGUUGAAUGAUUAUGGUGAUAAAGAUACUUGCGAGAUAGAUAUUCCUUACUUUAAUGAGAGUUUAAAUAUUGAAUAUUUUUUUAAUUGGAUUACGAAAAUAGAUAGGUUUUUCGAUUAUAUGAAAAUUCCAGAAGAAACAAAGGUGAGACUUGUCACCUGUAAAUUAAAAGGUGAGGCUUUUACAUGGUGAGAAAGGUUGCAGUCCAAAAAGAGACAUAAGGGAAAAUCACCAGUUAGAACCUGGUACAUGAUGAAGCAGUUGUUACAGAAGGAUUUUCUUGGGACUGAUAUAGAAGGUCUAACAGAUAACCUCUUAGAGCAGGUUGAGCAUUAAAAGCCAAUAGUACAAAAGCCAAAACAAAAAGUUCAAAGAUUAGUAUUCUCCCUUUUUUAAUGAGGAGACUAACAUAAGAAUUAUAGAUGUAAUAAAAUUUCUUUUUUAUUUAAUCUACUCGUACUAAAAUUUUAAGAUAAUCAUAUUCUAAUUAAGAAUAAAAUAUUUAUUUUAUUUAAAUGUCUUGUCAAUUGUUCUAGUUUUACUAGUUUUAUUAAGAUUUAGUUUUUUGAAUCAUUGAAUAACAUUACAAAUUUUUUCUCUCAACUUAAAUUUAAAUUUCUGUAUUUUAAACUUAGUUGUCAAUUUUAAAAGCUCAGUAAAAUGUUAGCUUUUGUUAUCACGUUAACUUGCUACAUCAGAUUCAACCGAUUUACAUCUUAUGUCGAAGGGUCUGGACAUGUUUCAAACUUUUCUAUAAGAAGUAAUUGGACAGUAGGUUUACAUGUUCGUAAUUCUACUUUGAUCUGACGCUCAAAGCCAUCAACCUCUCUUAAGAUAGAAUCUUGCAAAUGCAAUUUACGUGACAUCUAGUAGUUGCCUUGUAAAAUUUCAAAUCAAGAAGAACAUUUUGUUGUUUUUAUGCAAGGUUUAAUAUUAAAAAAAAUGAAAAUCAACAAUAUCGACCUAUAUUCAACUAUUUUUUUAGAAAAAAAUUCAACUACUCUUUUUUAAAAAAAUCAUAAAUAUGAUAUUUACUAUUUCAAGUCAAGAAAAUCCAUACACCAACCUUACAAAAAAAAAAAAGAAAAUUCAUGCACCGACCUUACAAAAAAUAAAAAUAAAAAAUUCAUACACCUAAAUUUGUUAUGAUACUUGAUAACCAUUGUGAUAAUCAUGUUUGGCUUUAAAGAUUAAUCGAUUUCGCUUCUUUAAACAAUCUCUUGAGUUGAUAUAAAUAGUCUUAAGCCACUCAAUUUGGUUGUGAUUACUCAAGAACUCAUAUAUUGUUGUAUGUCCCAUGCCAAAAGAAUCACUAAUGAUUCCAUUCUUUUCGUUUCAUCUCACUAGUUGAUCCAUCCAGGUUGCAAUCUUCCGGGUAGCUUGUGUAAUCUUGUUUGCAGCCAUUGUCUGGAUUACUUUCAUCCAAGGAAGAAAAUCCUGGGGGACAUGAGCAAAUCUUAUCCAUUUUAUAUUAAAUGUUGUUUAAUUUUUAUCAUUAUUCUUAUUUUUUUUAUAAAUAUAAGAAUAUUAUUCUUUUUAAUAUUAACAUUAUAUCUAACUAAUUUAGUUAGAUUAAAUUCAUCAUUAUCAAAUAUUUAAAUAUUAUAUCAUAAUUUAACUAAUUUAAGUUCUUGAAUUAAAACAUUUAAUAGUCUUCAUUAUGACACUUAAUUCGGUUGGACAUGGUCAAGAGCCCAUAAUCUAUUGCUUGUUCCAUUAAGAAAAAUAACCAUUAAUUGUGGUUCCAUUUCCUUUUUCCUUGCAUGGGCCGCUUCUCAUUUUGCAUAAAUGAACUGUUGUUCUAGCCUCUAAGAUUGGGCCUAAAUUAUUGGAAAACUUGAAAACUGAAACUAUGUAAAUUUGUAAAAGUACAAGUUUUCACUAUAAUUAUAUGGGAUCAAACUUCAAAAUCUUGACAGUGGGUUUGCUAGGAAAGGGCACGGUGGAGUAGGAACCUGGACAGCACCUUCUAGCAUCAUGGAGACUGUCCUCAUGGAAGGUCUCAACAAUGGUUCAUCUUGUACACACCAAAUUGCCACUUUCAACAACAUCUCCACCUUCCCAAGAUCACUUCUGGCCUCUUCAUCAUUUUCCACCAGCUUUUCGGCUAUGCCUUCACUGUAGCAUUCAUAAGCCCAUUCUGUCAAUAUUGCAGCAUCCUCCAUCUCAAUUUCAACACAUCUUCUGCAAGUGACGAUCUCUAGCAACAUGACUCCAAAACUGUAAACAUCUACCUUCACUGUGAGCGGCGUGUUCUUGAACCACUCUGGUGCAACAUACCCUUUAGUCCCUCUGAUUCCGGUCAUCGUUCGGGUGUUGUUGAUCAAGAGUUUUGCUAACCCAAAAUCAGAUAUUUUGGCAGUGAAAGAAUCAUCCAGGAGUACGUUAUGAGGCUUGAUGUCGCAAUGGAUGAUCUGUAUGCUGCAUUCUUCAUGCAAGUAUGUGAGUCCUUUUGCAAUUCCUAAUGCGAUUUGCAAUCUUUGCUGCCACCUAGGCCUUAGAACUCCAAAAAGGAAGCUUGACAAGGAACCAUUUUGCAUGAACUCGUACACCAGAAGUCGAUGUUCACCUUCAUCACAGUAGCCAAUUAAUCUCACCAAAUUCUUGUGGUGAGUUUGGCCAAUCACCUUCACUUCUGUUUUGAAUUCCCUUUCACCCUCUUGAACAAACUUGUCUAAUUUCUUGACGGCAACAUAAUUUCCAAAACUUGACGGUAGUUCUCCUUUAUAAACCGUACCGAAAGCCCCCCUUCCUAAUUCUUCUUUAAAUCUGUUUGUGGCUUGUUCAAGGUCUUUGUAUGUGAAAAAACGUAGAUUAGUCUCUAAGUCUCUUCUGCUAGGAAUACCGUUGAAGUCCCGCAGUCUUCUUUUGUAUAAGCAGAAGAAGAUGAGAGAAAUUGCAGCUAAAGAAAAGAAGUUGAAAACUGCAGAGGUGCCUAACAGAACUCCAAGGAUCAAAAUAACUUGAUUCUGAUUUUCAUCACUUGGAUUUGGAGUGGCAGGGUUUUUCCUAGAGGCAUCUGACUUUAAUACCUUAAAUAGAGCUGUUCUAUCAACAGCAUCUGUGUUAAACCACCCAUUUGAAAGUGGUAAUUUCUUUUUCCAACAAGUUCCAUUGCCAUCUUCACUUAAAGUUGGAUCCUGUAAAAUGGCAACUGCACAGGAGCAGUCACGAAGGCAAGAUUGCUUACAUUCAAACUCAUUUGCAGGUUGCAGUAUUCCAUAGUCACUGAAAGGAAAAUCAGCAAACUGCAUUGACUUGAACGCAAAGCGAUCUUCCUCAAUGGUGGAUCCGUCCGGGUUGCAAUCUUCCGGGUAGCUUGUGUAAUCUUGUUUGCAGCCAUUGUAUGGAUUUUUUUCAUCCAAGAAAGAAAACCCUGGUGGACAUGUGCAAUUAGGCCUCCCAUUGAUAGGUUCGCAUAUGCUGUUAUAACCGCACGGGCCAUUUCCAAGUCUAGCUGUACUGUCUACAAACCUGGAGCAGAUGUCCCUUGGCCUAAACCACCAGGCAGACCAGCUUCCACCGCCACUGGGGU